UACAUGGGGUGCAAACGUUGCUCGGAAUCAUUGGGCGUAAAGAGCGCGCAGGCGGUCGUGCAAGUCGCGUGUGAAAGCCCCCGGCUCAACUGGGGAGGGUCACGCGAUACUGCUCGACUGGAAGGCAGGAGAGGGAAGUGGAAUUCCCGGUGUAGUGGUGAAAUGCGUAGAGAUCGGGAGGAACACCAGUGGCGAAGGCGGCAUCCUGGACCAGCACUGACACUCAGGCACGAAAGCGUGGGGAGCAAACAGG
rnacentral:rRNA from 1 species